rnacentral:rRNA from 1 species
UCCGUACCGAGAACCGACACAGGUGUCCAUAGCGGCGAAAGCUAAGGCCUGUCGGGAGCAACCGACGUUAGGGAAUUCGGCAAGUUAGUCCCGUACCUUCGGAAUAAGGGAUGCCUGCUCCGGAACGGAGCAGGUCGCAGUGACUCGGAAGCUCGGACUGUCUAGUAACAACACAGGUGACUGCAAAUCCGCAAGGACUCGUACAGUCACUGAAUCCUGCCCAGUGCAGGUAUCUGAACACCUCGUACAAGAGGACGAAGGACCUGUCAACGGCGGGGGUAACUAUGACCCUCUUAAGGUAGCGUAGUACCUUGCCGCAUCAGUAGCGGCUUGCAUGAAUGGAUUAACCAGAGCUUCACUGUCCCAACGUUGGGCCCGGUGAACUGUACAUUCCAGUGCGGAGUCUGGAGACACCCAGGGGGAAGCGAAGACCCUAUGGAGCUUUACUGCAGGCUGUCGCUGAGACGUGGUCGCCGACGUGCAGAAUAGGUAGGAGUCGUUACACAGGUACCCGCGCCAGCGGGUCACCGAGACACACGUGAAAUACUACCCGUCGGUGACUGCGACUCUCACUCCGGGAGGAGGACACCGGUAGCCGGGCAGUUUGACUGGGGCGGUACGCGCUCGAAAAGAUAUCGAGCGCGCCCUAAGGUCAUCUCAG